rnacentral:rRNA from 1 species
ACGGGUGAGUAAUACAUCGGAACGUGCCCAGUAGUGGGGGAUAGCCCGGCGAAAGCCGGAUUAAUACCGCAUACGACCUACGGGUGAAAGCGGGGGAUCGCAAGACCUCGCGCUAUUGGAGCGGCCGAUGUCAGAUUAGCUAGUUGGUGGGGUAAAAGCCCACCAAGGCGACGAUCUGUAGCUGGUCUGAGAGGACGACCAGCCACACUGGGACUGAGACACGGCCCAGACUCCUACGGGAGGCAGCAGUGGGGAAUUUUGGACAAUGGGCGCAAGCCUGAUCCAGCCAUGCCGCGUGCGGGAAGAAGGCCUUCGGGUUGUAAACCGCUUUUGUCAGGGAAGAAACGGCCUGAUCUAAUAAAUCGGGCUAAUGACGGUACCUGAAGAAUAAGCACCGGCUAACUACGUGCCAGCAGCCGCGGUAAUACGUAGGGUGCAAGCGUUAAUCGGAAUUACUGGGCGUAAAGCGUGCGCAGGCGGCUUUGCAAGACAGAUGUGAAAUCCCCGGGCUUAACCUGGGAACUGCAUUUGUGACUGCAUGGCUAGAGUGCGGCAGAGGGGGAUGGAAUUCCGCGUGUAGCAGUG